CUGCUGGGCUCCGCCUUAGCCUUCCGAGUAGCCGGAAUUACAGCUACUGGUAACGUGUUUUUAUAAAUGCGGAAGGCUUGCUUAGUUGCAGAUUUUGGAGACUUUAUAAAGGUUUGAGGAGAGCUGGCUUCAUGGAGCUACAGUUCAUGGAGCAGGUGUUAAUGCAAAGGACUAAAUUUACAUUUGAAGAAGUACAAGUGACAAGCUGUUUUAAAAUUACAAUGUGCCUGAAAAGGAAAAAAUUGAAGACUCAGUGACCACAGCAAGCAAGCAUAGCAUGCAGCUUACCCAUUGAAAGGGUCUCCUGGAAUAUAGUGGUGUGAUUACAGCCCACUGCAGCCUUGGACACCUGGAACUAGAGGUGUGAGCCACUGUUCCUGGCCUCAAAGUGGUCUUUGCAGGUAAUUUGGAUCCUUAGCCUGGAGGAGCCUACUGAAGAUUAUUGCCCAUACAGGUCUUCAGCUCCAGGCCUCAAGCUGUUCUCCCAUCACAGCCUCCCAAAAGUGCUGGAAUUUAUAGGCAUGAGCCACACAACCCAGCCUCAUUCAGCUUUAAUAAAUUUGUACAAGCAA